UGGCUUAUCACACCUUUUUACAUUAAGUUUUGGUUUUCAAUUGUGAACAAUGAUACAUCCAGCUUUAUCAAAGGGAGCAGAUAGUUCUACUUGUUAAUUUAUCAAUAGGAAAAACACUGGUGGCAUGAAAGGGAUUGCUUGCUGAAUAAGGAAGUGUUUCAGAAAUCUUUAAUUACAGGAACUCACACUAAAUAUUGAUAAAAAUAUUUACAAUCUUCUGUUGUUAAUAAUCACAUCUCUUUGGUUCUUUGUUGGCUUUUUCGGUUUUUGAAGUCUCUUCAGAAAUUCCCUAUAUUUUUUCUUAUUUAUGUCAUUAGGGUUGAAUGCUGCUGUGUUUCCCAGUGUGCCAGAUGGUUGGAGAAAUGAAGAUACAAUCACCUCUCCUGAAAUUUACAUAAAAAUGAAUGUACUGACAUCAAAUUAAAAUCAAAGGGAAAAAAACUCACAAUGACCUUGAUGAAUGUGAAAAAAGGAGAGCGAGAAGGAAAAAAUCCCAGCAACUGAUUUUAUUGAUGACCAAACAUGGUAUAGGUAUGUCUCCAGAUGACUCCGGAUUGGUAGUGUGAAUUCAGAGGCCCAGAACUCCUUAUGGAUCUGAUGGAUAUCAGCUUGUGGCAUCUAAGACCUGAAUCUAAAGCAGAUCUCAGCUUAACCAAUUCCAAAGAAAAAAAUCCUUCCUGAAUUUUACUUCACUAUUAGAGGAGCUGCAGAGAUAUAAACUAAAGGUGGUUUGCUAAAGGUUAUGUUUCUUUGCCGUGCUGUAUUUUGCACAUGAAUAAAAUGAGAAGGCUGCAGUUUCCAGUCAAUCAAUGUUUGAUGAACUAGCAACACUUUAAAAAGUUCAGCUUAACAGUUGCAAGCUUUCACUUGAAAUAUGGCAUUUUUCUGCCACCUCGUUGAAAGUUCAUGGCAACUUUUGAAGACACUUAGAAAAUUACUGGUAAUUUUAAAUCCUCAGCUUCAUUUGACAGCACCAUGCUUUAGGAUUCAACUUUUUUUUCCUUUUUUUUUUCCCUGUAGACAGUACAUUCUCUGUGAAUUCACUAGUUCUAGACCAGACACUUAUUCAUUGCAUUACUCUCCUUCAAUUAUGUACUUGGCAAUUGCUCAUACUCAGCCUUGAAAUGGGAGACAUUGUGUGAGUGCAAAUAAAUGUAAGCUAGGAAAUUAAGGUUAUCUUUUAUGGCUUUUAAAGUACAUGUAAUAGAUUCUUUAUCUUCCCACUGGACAGUCAACAUCUCAUUUGGAGCAAAAAACUCCCUAAAAUGCUGCAUUUCCCAUUUGAAGCAUCACUGAAGGGAAACAGAGAUGGGACAUAAGAGUUACCUCAUCAGUGGCUCAUCAGGUUUAAAUUUGGCUCUCAGAGAGGCCACUAUAUAUAUUUCAGAAUUAUGCCAAAUGCCAAGAGUGCCAAAGGGAACUAUUUUUAAUGUACUCAUAGUUCUUUUGCCUUCUGUGAGCCUGGUUUAUGCCCACAAACAUGAUACAUUUUGAUUUUGUUGUGGGUUGGAUUUUUUUUUUCAAAUGUAAGGUUGUUAACUACUAAAAAUGAUUAUGUGCUUGUAAAAUAAAUGUCCAAUAAACAUUUUUCAUAUGGAGAAAAA